rnacentral:rRNA from 1 species
UACGUAGGGGGCAAGCGUUGUCCGGAAUUAUUGGGCGUAAAGGGCUCGUAGGCGGUCUGUUGCGUCGGCUGUGAAAACCCGGGGCUCAACUCCGGGCCUGCAGCCGAUACGGGCAGACUAGAGUUCGGCAGGGGAGACUGGAAUUCCUGGUGUAGCGGUGAAAUGCGCAGAUAUCAGGAGGAACACCGGUGGCGAAGGCGGGUCUCUUGGCCGAUACUGACGCUGAGGAGCGAAAGCGUUGGGAGCAAACAGG